AUUGAACGCUGGCGGCAGGCUUAACACAUGCAAGUCGAGCGGAGAGAGGUAGCUUGCUACUGAUCUUAGCGGCGGACGGGUGAGUAAUGCUUAGGAAUCUGCCUAUUAGUGGGGGACAACAUUUCGAAAGGAAUGCUAAUACCGCAUACGUCCUACGGGAGAAAGCAGGGGAUCUUCGGACCUUGCGCUAAUAGAUGAGCCUAAGUCGGAUUAGCUAGUUGGUGGGGUAAAGGCCUACCAAGGCGACGAUCUGUAGCGGGUCUGAGAGGAUGGUCCGCAACGCAGGGACUGAGAAACGGCCCGGACUCCUACGGGAGGCAGCCGUGGGGAGUAGUGGAUGAUGGACGCAAGCCUGAUCUAGCCAUGCCGGGUGUGAGAAGAAGGCCUUAUGGUUGUAAAGCACUUUAAGCGCGGAGGCGGCUACUUUAGAUAAUACCUAGAGAUAGUGGACGUUACUCGCAGAAUAAGCACCGGCUAACUCUGUACCAGCCGCCGCGGUAAUAC
rnacentral:rRNA from 1 species